AGUGGCAGACGGGCGAGUAACACGUGCUUAAUUUGCCUCGGAGCGGGGAACAACGGUUGAAAGGCCGCUAAUUCCCCAUACGAUCCUAGAAAUGAAAAUACUAGGAUGAAAGGUUUACCACUCUGAGAGAAGAGCGCGGCCUAUUAGAUAGUUGGUGAGGUAACGGCUCACCAAGUCGAUGAUGGGUAGCUGGUCUGAGAGGAUGAUCAGCCGCAAUGGAACUGAGACACGGUCCAUACCCCUACGGGGGGCAGCAGUGGGGAAUAUUGGACAAUGGAGGAAACUCUGAUCCAGCGACUCCGCGUGGAGGAUGACGCAUUACGGUGUGUAAACUCCUUUUUUGGAGGAAGACGACUGACGGUACUCCAAGAAUAAGCGACGGCUAACUACGUGCCAGCAGCCGCGGUAAUACGUAGGUCGCAAGCGUUAUCCGGAUUUACUGGGCGUAAAGCGUCCGCAGCCUGUUUUGUAAGUCUAUUUUCAAAACCCAGAGCUCAACUUUGGACAGGGAAUAGAUACUGCAUUACUAGAGUAUUGUAGAGGUAAGUAGAAUUUCCUGUGGAGGGGUGAAAUCCGUUGAUAUAGGAAGGAAUGCCAAAAGCGAAAGCAGCUUACUAUGCUCUUACUGACGGUCAUGGACGAAAGUAUAGGUAGCAAACGGGAUUAGAUACCCCGGUAGUCUAUACUGUAAAUGAUGCUCGCUAGGUGUUUUCAUCAAUUUAUUGGUGGGAGUGCCGUAAGCUAACGCGUUAAGCGAGUCGCCUGGGUAGUAUAGUCGCAAGACUGAAACUCAAAGGGAUAGGCGGGGGAACACACAAGCAGUGGAUUGCCUCGAUUAAUUGGAUAAUAAGCCAAGAAUCUUACCUCGGCUUGACAUCUGUAGAAUUUUUUCGAAAGUUUAAAGUGCCUGGUUUACCAGGAGCUACAAGACAGGUGCUGCAUGGCCGUCGUCAGCUCGUGCCGCAAGGUGUCCGGUUAAGUCCGGGAACGAGCGCAACCCUCAUCGUAUGUUAGGAUGUCAUACGAGACUGCCUUCGCAAGGAGGAGGAAGGAGAGGAUGACGUCAGGUCACUAUGGCCCUUAUGCCGAGGGCGUCAGAGACAAUACAAUGGGUAGGACAACGGGUAGCAAAAUCGCGAGAUGGAGCCAAUCCUUCAAAACUAUCCUCAGUUCGGAUUGUAGUCUGGAACUCGACUACAUGAAGUUGGAAUUGCUAGUAAUGGCGGGUCAGCCAUACCGCCGUGAAUAUGUCCCUGUUCCUUGCACUCACCGCCCGUCAAAUCACGGGAGCUACGGUUCUUUGAAGA
rnacentral:rRNA from 1 species